GCUCAUCAACUUGUGUUCGGAGGCUAGGGGUUGUUAGGGACGUCUGUAUUCACAUAUUUUCUCAGUAAAUCCCCACAGCAGAUUGAUAUUCAGGUCGUAGGGAGGAGUAACUAUCCCUGGAGUCUACUGGAGAAAUGGUUUUGUUUAAUUUUAAUGGGUGGGUGCAAAGGACAGGCAUCCAAGAUAAGUUAAGCCAAACACCUACAGGGGCAGAAAUAAUGGAAACUAAAUUCAGACUACUGCCAUUGUAUGAUUCUCAUAUCAUUUGUUAAGGAUACUGAUUCUGUAUCAAACAGAGUAUAGGGCAUCCCAUCUGAUUCAAGCACCUGGUUCUGGAUAUCUGAGCUCCCCAGGUCAUCUCAUCUCAUCUCAGGGGUAACAGUGAGGCAGGUCUGUCCCUGCUUUGAACCAGGAGGAUGCAUGUCAAAGAUGCAGGUGUAGCAGCCUUCGUCGCGGAAGCCCACCCUGCGGAUGGUGAUGGCC